ACAUUAAUGGGGUAGUGGUAACCUGGGUCGUUGAUUUAUUCGGAAUAAAUCCUGUUUGUCGACCCGCCGGGGGUUCGAUUCCCUCUUGAUGUA